AGUGGGGGCCUGGGCAGCUGAAGGUUCCUUCCCUCCCUCCUUUGUUUUUCCUGCCUUCAAUAUUUCCUGAGCAUGUGUUCUGUGCUGGACAGGCUACUAGGUACUGGGAACCAAGGAUCUUAAUGUAGCUUGGGAGACGCUUGUACACACCCUACUUGCAAGAGCCAUGUGGUCAGUGUUCUACUAGCAGCAUGGACAUGAGUGGCUGUGGGAGCAGCACGGAGGACUUCCUGGAGAAGAUUAUUAAAAACUCCAAUUUGUGUCUGUGUAACUCAACGUGGGAGCCUGGAACCAUGUUUACUCUUCUGAUGACCCUGAAAGGUACAAUCCACAACCCACCUCCCCUGCAUCCCAGUUUUGCUCCAGUGUGUGCCCUGUGUUGUUGACGACCCUUGUGUUGUGCUGAUAAUUCAUCACAGAGGUGAGUGCCCAGAGAACAGUGAGGAGGGAAGCCCAGAGGCAAAGUUUUGCGGGGAGAAACCCCAGUGCUUUCUUAUGAGAAAUCAAAUGAAUGAGAUAAGGAUGAGCAGGUGAUAUCUAAAUCAUAUAGAGUCCCCUUCUUCCUUCUUUUCUUCCUUUCUUUCUCCCCUGGUAUGGUUUGAAUGCAUCCCCCCAGAGUCAUAUGUUAGAUACUCCCUAAGGCAAGUGUUGUGAGGUGGGACCUAAUGGGAGGUGUUUAGGUCAUGGGGGCUUUACCUUCAUGAAUGGAUUAAUGCUGCCAUAUAAAGGGUUUCUGGGAGUGGGCUCUCUCUCUCAUCCUGCCUUCCAUCAUGUGAGGACACAAUGUGCAAGGCACCAUCGUGGAAGAACAGAAUGUCUUCAUCAGACAUCAAACCUGCUGAUGCCUUGACCUCAGACUUCCCAGCCUUCAGAACUGUGAGCCAAUAGAUCUCUGUUUACAAAUUAUUCAGCCUGUGGUAUUCUGUUAUAGCAGCACAAAAAGAAGCCGCUCCCCCCUCCCCACAUUCCUUACUCCCUCCAACCUUUAUUGAGCAAUUGCUGCAUAACUGUAUUGUGCUAAGGGUUGGAGAUACAAAGAUGACUAGAACACAGUUCCUGCUCCCUAAGAGUUCUCAGUCAAGACACACAAGUAAGUAACAUAGCUCUUUGAUCUUAAAAUGUACUGUCAAUAUAAUAACAGAUUUUCAGAAGAAAAAAAGUCAGAAACACUACCACAGUCAAUGUCCACAUUAGCAAAAUACUCUGGUUUCAGAAACACUCAAGUGUGAAAAAACAUGUUUUAAAAUUGAGCAGUAAGAACAGAGUAAUCAUUUUCACAAUAGGAGUGGGCCCAUUGACCUAUCAGGACAUGAAAAUGUGGGGAAAAAUGUGUCUUGGAAUUGGUAGUUACAGCGGUGUGAUCAUUGUCACAACGGGUGGGAACAA
ensembl:lncRNA